CCUGAAGAUAUGACUCAACCUUUGUAAAUAUUAAUAUCACACAAGAAAAACACUGUUUUUCUACCAUAAACAGUAAACUCAGUGAUUUGGUAAUUUUUUCCUUUAAAUACUUGCAUUUUUUAUUGGAUGAGCCUGUCUUUCUAAAGCCUGGAUUCCCUUGCAACACUCACUACAAAUAAAGUUGCUUUCUCUUCUAAAUGCUUUUGUCUGAGUCUUUGAUAGUAACUUGUUUACUUGUCCCUAUUUUUUUGGUCCUACAUACCUAUUGCUAUGAUCUGAAUGUUUGUGUCCCACUGAAAUACAUAUGCUGAAAACUUAAUCCCUAUUGUGAUGAUUAGGUGAUUAGGUCAUGAGGGUGGGGUCCUCAUCAAUGGGAUUAGUGCCAAGAACUGCCUUGCCCCCUUUCAACAUGUGAGGACCCAGCAAGAAGACACCAUCUAUAAGAAAUCAGGCUCUCACCAGACACCAAAGCUGCUGGCAUAUUGACUUUGGACUUCCCAGCCUCCAGAACUGAAAAAUCAAUGUUUGUUGUUUACAAGCCACCCAGUCUAUGGUGUUUUGUUACAGCAGCCCAAGUGGACUAAGACACCUGCUCCCAGUCAUGGCCAUGUAUUAACAGCUCCUAUCACAGAUAACAACAGUGAGCUCUGGACAGAAAAUAAAAACAUCUUUCUAAAGUCACAAAAGAGCAACCAAAAGUAAUUCAUCAUGAUUUGAUCUAACUUGCUUAUGGCGAUCCCUGCUAAAAGAAGAAUGUAACAUUGUGAUCCAGAAUGAGAAGAGAUGUCAUAUCAGUAGGCCAUGGUUACAGGCAGCGUUGUCAUCAGUUUAAAAUAAUGGGCUUGUGGGCAUUUCAGUUACUCCAUCUAAACUAUAGGACUGGAUUUGGGGUUCUCCAAUACAAGCAGGCAGAAGAAUCUCCUAAAGAAUUUGUUUGAAAUUCAGAAUUCGACUUAGGAGAUUAAGAUGGUGGAUACGAGGAAAGACUAGCUUGCGCGUCCCGCUCAGAUGGACAGAACAGCAUGCGGAGACUCACAUUGUGGACUUUUGCUCCAAGAACUACCAUAGGAACAUACCAAGAAAACUGAAAGAAUCCACAGACCCUUUGAAGGAACUUCAUCACCCCUGCAGGCUCCCUGAGAUGCCAAAAAACUGUGAGUCCUCUUGCUUUCUCAAUGGGGUGGCUCAUGGGGAGGCUGCUUGCCUUCUCAGUGGGGCAAGAUCUCAGCCCUGGUCACCAGCUGCCUAGAAAUAAACUUGGCGCUGUUGCAGGGGCAUGUUGGGAGUAAGAUCAGCUUUAGGACUGUGGGCUGCUUGGGAGCAGGGUGAGGCCUGUAACUGCCGGCUUUCCCCCAGUUCCCUGGCAACUUGUACCUCACCCCUCCAUAUUAACAUUGAAUGUAAAUGUCCUAAAUACUCCACUUAAAAGACACAGAAUGUUC
rnacentral:lncRNA from 1 species